rnacentral:rRNA from 1 species
UAGUGAGUUUGAUCCUGGCUCAGGAUGAACGCUGGCGGUCUGCUUAACACAUGCAAGUCGAACGGAGUACUUUCGGGUACUUAGUGGCGGACGGGUGAGUAACGCGUGAGAAUCUGCCCAUAGGAUAGGGACAACAGUUGGAAACGACUGCUAAUACCUGAUGUGCCGAGAGGUGAAACUUUUAUGGCCUGUGGAUGAGCUCGCGUCUGAUUAGCUAGUUGGUGGGGUAAGAGCCUACCAAGGCGACGAUCAGUAGCUGGUCUGAGAGGAUGAUCAGCCACACUGGGACUGAGACAC